rnacentral:rRNA from 1 species
UACGGGGGGAGCAAGCGUUGUUCGGAUUUACUGGGCGUAAAGGGCGCGUAGGCGGCCACCGCAAGUCGGUUGUGAAAUCUCUGGGCUUAACCCAGAAAGGUCAACCGAUACUGCGGGGCUAGAGUGCAGAAGGGGCAACUGGAAUUCUCGGUGUAGCGGUGAAAUGCGUAGAUAUCGAGAGGGACACCUGCGGCGAAGGCGGGUUGCUGGGCUGACACUGACGCUGAAGCGCGAAAGCUAGGGGAGCGAACGGG